rnacentral:lncRNA from 1 species
AAAAUGAAAUCUGUUCAAUUUUCAUUUUUAAUUAAUAAUUUAAAAUUUUAUUUUUAAAUUCGAAUAUCCUCUGUGAUCCCUGAUCUAUCCCGAUCCCGUGCAAUAAGAUGAGGGACAGAGGGCGAGCAAGGCGGCGCGUGUAGUCAUUCUCUUGGGUAGCUUUAAGAGAUGGGUUAUUAUGAUUACCAGAUAGGAUUUGUGAGCCCCACUUUGGGUAACCGAUGGAAGGUCUUCUUCCCCCCUUUGACUAUGAUAACGCCAUUAUUAUGCAAUUCCCAUUAAUAUAAAAGUUCUUAACUUUCGUGUCGUUUCUAAACCCUCACCAUUCACAAAAGCACUAUAAUUAUUUAGAUUUGAUCCAGUACAUCAUAUGCACACACAUGGGCACUUGAUGCUGCCCCAACUGUAUAUAGUGUAAUAUACGGGACGGGAGUAGUAGUAGAGUGGACUUUAUUUUUCUAAUAUUUUGUUUGGUGGGAAAGAAAACAAAAGAAAACAAAGAAAUAAAAGAAAGAAAGAAGGCAAUGCAUUGAAUAUAAAUUUAGGUAAUACAUUAAGAAUUAGGUUGAUGGGCAAAAUGAUGACCUGAUGAGUUGUUUAGGUCACAAAGCACAUGCCCAAGAAUUGAAUAAUGCAACUUGUUUGAUUUUUUUUUUUUUUUUAGGAUAUUUUUUAGAGUAGUGGCACAUGAAAAAUGGUGUAGACCCGAAUAGUUGGAAAAAUUUCUAUAUAUGAAAUUGUAAGAGAUUAUUGUAUGACUCAAUAUAUGGUAUUUGGAUAUGUGGCAGAGAAAAAGUCAACUUGCUUAAAAGGCUUAUACAAUCAAUUGGACAGUUCAUGAGAUCAUCUAUUUUUAUUUAAUUUCUUCGUACAUUUUAACAUCCAAUACAGCAGAGGGUGGCAAAGCCUGUGCUGUUGGCUGCCAGGUUGCUUUCGAUUUUCAACUGUGGAGUUUAGCUUUCUUUUCUACGCAUGGCCACGGCUAAUUCCUAUUUACCAAGAAGUUUUAAUUAUAAGCAUAUUUUUGCACAUUUCUCAAUUUUUAAAUAAUAAAAUUAAUAUCUCAAUUUUUUCAAGUUUGGUUAACAUUUCUCAAAAUUAAAAUUUUCUACAAUUAAUCUAAAAUAAAAAUAUUCAAAUAAUUAAUCAAUUUUAAAUAAGAAAUAUCAUGAAUUAAUAUGAUUUUAAAGUCCAUUGGCAUAUUCUUUUUUCUCGUCUCCUCAUGCAUUUAAAUUUAGACACGAUUUUGCUAUUUAGCCACCACUCCUCUCCCGAUACUGUUGUGGCUAUCGUAAGCACUCUUUAUCACUUCACCUCUUAUAUUUGGACAAAAUUUCAAUUGUAAUUGAAUGCAAUUUCGUAUUUGUUUUUUAAAAGUCAAAAUUGAUAAUUAUUAUUUUUUUAUUUGCUGUGUAAAAUCUCAAAUUGGUUCUGUGGAUUUGCUAAAUAACCUUUUUAUUAGCAUUAAUUUCCAAAAUGUAUUUAUAUUGAUUUUUUUAUUUUUAUUUUUGUAUUUUUAGAUCAUAAAUGGGGUUUUAGCUCUAUAAAAAGAAGAAAUUAUACAUGAACCAGCCUUAGAAUUCAGGGACAAUGACGUGGCGAAAUCAGAGGGAGGAUGUAUACGAGGUGAAAAGGUGAACGAGGCAGAGGAUUAUUCCCAAGUAAAACGACGUUGAAUUGCGGUCUCUUCACUGUUGGACCGCAUAGCUGUGUCUGCACCAGAAGAAGCUUUUAUUACUAUAUAUUUGGAGCCUUCCACCUUAGCAAGCGCCAUCACAUUGCGCCCAACACGCAUCAAAAAGCUCGAAUGCUCGACUUUGGAGGUCACCAACCCAUCAAUUCUUUUCCUCAGCCAAACUUUUCUUGGCAUCUGUUUGUUAAUCCCGAAUUUGCACUGAGGUUGAUAAUGAGUUUUGGUCUCACUCCUUAAAAACGUUGACUUCUUUAACUGUUUCUUAUCACCGAUCAGCUGUUUCAAAAUGGCAUCUCCGGCCAUGUCUCUCCGUUAAAGCUCCACAUUAUCCUCAGUGGAGUAACUUUCUUCUUAACCCUUCUCAAUGCUUUGAACCUACCCUUUCACAGACAUCAGAAAAGGAAGUACAAUUUUUUUUUUCCUGCCUGAGCUCUCACUCUGACAAAUUGAUAAUGGAGGAGACGUUCGUCCCUCUCCGUGGAAUCAAGAAUGACCUUAAGGGAAGAUUGCUCUGUUACAAGCAAGACUGGACAGGAGGAUUCAGAGCUGGUUUCAGGUAUGAUCUUAACUUAAGGUGGUCAACGAAAUUUGUAUCUUCAUUUGUUAUGUUACUCGCAUUAAACUCUUUGCUAAUAUUGUUAGUUUUAAGAUAUGAUCAUUUAAAACAUAUAUAUUUUUCUUUUCAGGAUUUUGGCUCCCACCACUUAUAUAUUUUUUGCUUCAGCAAUUCCAGUAAUUUCAUUUGGCGAACAACUGGAGAGAAAUACUGGUAAUGGACAUCAUCAGUAUAAAGAAUCUGUUUUUUUUUUUUUUAAUAUGAAAAAAUACUGAUCCACUGAACAUUCUUUUACUUAUAUUAAGAUUGAUGUUACCAAGUUCAAAUCACAAUCUUUUUCCGAGUCCCCCAGGACCUUUUUUUUUUUUUUUUUUGAGGAGGACUGGAGAAGGGAGGAAAUUAUUUUAUAAAGCCAUGAACUUUUGCAAGAAAUUUUUAAAACACUAAUAUUCUGUUCUGUGAAUGUUUGCAGAUGGAGUUUUGACUGCAGUUCAAACCUUAGCAUCCACUGCAGUAUGUGGGAUCAUACACUCGAUCAUUGGAGGUCAACCUCUCCUGAUAUUAGGAGUUGCGGAGCCUACUGUCAUUAUGUACACUUUUAUGUUCAACUUUGCCAAAGAGAGGCCUGAUUUGGGCAGGGAUUUGUUUCUGGCAUGGACAGGAUGGUAAGUUAAUUCGUGUCAUCUUCCUGGAAAGUGUCUCUUGCUUUACAUUCGCCUUUAGCUCAAAUCCCAAUUCCCUGGUCAUGUGAUGCUGCAGGGUUUGUGUUUGGACCGCACUCCUGCUGUUCUUGCUGGCCAUCCUCGGAGCCUGCUCCAUUAUCAACAGGUUUACCCGUGUAGCAGGCGAAUUGUUCGGUCUGCUUAUCGCGAUGCUUUUCAUGCAGCAAGCUAUUAAAGUAAGACUGAUUAUACACACUCCAAUAAGUAGAAUAUUCAGGAUUUUCGGUAUUUGAAUCCAGCAGUAUCUAAUACUUUUAAAACUGCUCCGAUUCUGGUUGUUCAGGGACUUGUGGAUGAAUUUCGCAUUCCACAAAGGGAAGAUCCAAAAUUGAUAGAGUUCAUUCCUUCAUGGAGGUUUGCAAAUGGGAUGUUCGCUUUGGUUCUAUCUUUCGGCCUGCUUCUCACUGCAUUAAGAAGCAGAAAGGCAAGAUCCUGGCGUUAUGGGACCGGUAUGUACUUAAGCUUUCUGAAACAAAAAUCUAUAAGGUCCUUCUUCUCCGCCAUUGCUUGUCUGUCAAUAUUCUAGUUCACUUUUCGGGAAUAUUAGUAUACCCUCUUUUUAUUUUAUUUAUUCUAAAAGAAAAAAUAUAUAUAUAUAUAUAUGUAUACAUGUAUAAUGGGUUUCUUUCACAGGUUGGCUUAGAAGCUUCACAGCAGACUAUGGUGUGCCCUUCAUGGUCCUAGUGUGGACAGCUGUUUCCUACAUCCCAUCCGGAAGUGUUCCCCAAGGGAUCCCUCGCCGCCUUUUCAGCCCUAAUCCCUGGUCCCCUGGUGCCUACGAAAAUUGGACUGUCAUUAAGGCAUGUUUCUUUUUUUUAAUCACAUUUUACAAUUGCCAAACCACCAAAUUAAUGACUUCAAUUUUCGCUUAACUAAAAUAGAGGGAACCUGUGUUCUUUAUUACAGGAAAUGCUGAAUGUUCCCAUAUUUUACAUAAUUGGAGCUUUCGUUCCGGCAACGAUGAUUGCUGUCCUUUACUACUUUGACCACAGUGUAGCAUCUCAGCUUGCUCAGCAGAAAGAGUACAAUUUGAGAAAGCCAUCUUCUUAUCACUAUGACUUGCUGCUUCUGGGGUUCUUGGUACGAACUUCCCCUUCUAUUAGGCAAUUGCUCCAUUAAUUCCAUUUCUGUCCUUCACAUUCAGAAUUUUAAUGUACAUAAUUCAUGAUUUCAGACUUUAAUGUGUGGUCUUAUUGGAAUUCCACCAUCAAAUGGAGUCAUCCCACAAUCUCCGAUGCAUACAAAGAGUUUGGCCACACUGAAGUAUCAGGUGAUAAAUCCUGAACUUGCUCUUUGUACACUUCUUGAUUAUAUAUAGCUAUUAUCCAAUAUAAGAAACUAAGUGUCAAAACCAAUACCAGUGAGGCUUUUUACUUUUUUCCUUAGUUGCUCACGCAGAUGAGAUUUUUCUAAGAACAAUCACUUCUCAUUAUGCAGUUGCUUCGUAAUCGACUUGUAGCAACUGCUCGAACAAGUAUCAAAAAGAACGCCAGCUUGGGACAGUUAUAUGGAAAUAUGCAAGAAGCUUAUCAGCAAAUGCAGACACCUUUGAUCUACCAACAGCCUUCUCAAGUAUGGUCACAACUUAUUCUACUCUUGAUUGUAUUGUUUAUAAAGUUAAUAGACUUCUUUUUCCCUCUGGAAGCAACAUAUAUUUUUGAACAAAUACACUCAGAUGAUUGAUUCAAACAGAAUCCUAGCUACAAGUAUCUAAUAGUGAAAUUUUUUUUUUUAGUCCAGAUGAAAUUAUCUAGCUCUGAGACUAAUUAUUGUCAAAUAUUUUGAGCAGGGCCUGAAAGAAUUCAAAGAAACAACCAUCCAGGCAGCUUCCUCUACUGGCCACAUAGAUGCACCAGUUGAUGAGACAGUAUUUGACAUCGAGAAGGAGAUUGAUGAUUUAUUGCCUGUUGAAGUGAAAGAACAGCGUGUCAGCAACUUGCUUCAAGCCACCAUGGUUGGAGGAUGUGUAGCAGCCAUGCCUUUCCUCAAAAAGAUCCCAACUUCAGUCCUCUGGGGUUACUUUGCCUUUAUGGCCAUUGAAAGUUUGCCUGGCAACCAAUUCUGGGAAAGGAUAUUGCUGCUCUUCACUGCACCAAGCAGAAGAUACAAGUAUUAGUUUCAAUCCUUUAGUUUCACUUACCUGCCGCUUGCUUUCUUCUUCUUGGUUUCUAAAAGUAACUCCCUUCUCUUGCAGAGUCCUCGAGGAAUACCAUGCCACGUUUGUGGAAACUGUGCCUUUCAAGACAAUUGCAACAUUUACCAUUUUUCAAACUAUUUACUUGUUAAUAUGUUUUGGCCUCACUUGGGUUCCAAUUGCCGGGGUCAUGUUUCCAUUGAUGAUCAUGCUUUUGGUUCCAGUAAGACAAUAUGUCCUUCCUAAAUUUUUCAAAGGAGCACACCUUCAGGACCUGGAUGCAGCAGAGUAUGAAGAAGCUCCAGCUCUGCCAUACAAUAUUGCUACAGUAAGAUUUCUUUUCUGACCCAAAAAAAAAAAAUAAACCAAAGUUCACAUCCUAAGAUUGCUUCAUUCAUAUAUAUAAUUUCUUCGUUAUGUUUGUUUACAGGAGUCUGAGCUGGGGGCUGGGGCUACUCGUGCAGGGGAUGGAGAGAUACUAGAUGAAGUUAUUACCCGUAGCCGAGGAGAGUUCAGGCAUGUGAGCAGUCCUAAAAUUACAAGUACUACUGGAACCCCUGCAAAUGAUCCUAAAAGCCAUCAAAGCCCGCGUCUCUCGUACACGUAUAGUCCUCGUUUAAGUGAACUGAAAGGAGAGAAAAGUCCUAAGGCUAGUGGAAGAGGGCCUAUAAGUCCAAGACCUGCAGAACUAGGAUUAUCUAAGUUAGGAAAGAGUCCUUCAAAUUCAGCACAAAAGUAGUGCAGAAAGUUUGGCUAGUUUGAUUUCUGUUAGUUAAUAGUUAGUAGCUUUGGAUUGCUUCUGCUUGCCCCCUUCCUUUUAUUUUCGGUGUGUUGUUUUGGUUGGAAUUGCUGUAAAAUAUUUCUCCUUUCUGCUCUUAUCUUUUAGAGCAUAUCUGUAACUUACAAAUAUACUAAUGGAUAUUGUUCUUUUCAGAGCAAUUUGUUUAUAUUGCCUUAAGAGUUCAAUCUUCUUCAAUGCAAACCUUAACAUUAAAAACAUUAUAAUUUACAGCGCAACAGACCAAUAUCCUUGAUUCAGUUCAUUUACAAGCCAUAUUUGCCCCCCAUUUGCAAGCUCAUACCUACCUAUGUUACAGGCAAAGAUAUGAUCCGUUGAUCACUAAACACUCGAGAGUGCAAAAGAUCACUGGAUUUGAAGUUUGGACAAUCACUACUGCUUUAUCUAAUACUAUUAUCAAGAAACCACUCGGCCCAGCAGAAAUAUCCCAUGUCUUUCCCAGCCUUUCUGUCUGAUGCAUGGUAUAAGCAAAUUCCAAUUGCAGAGGCAUUUGUCAUCAAAUGUAUUGAUGGGAGAGGGUCCACACCAAUGAGUCAUUAGUUUAACGUAGUCCAAGAAUUGUGGGUUAUAAAGUUUUAAGUAUCAAUGAAAAUCAAAUGAAAAGAGAAAGAAAGCAAGGAAGAGGGAGAGGGUCCACCAAAACGUUCUUAAUUCUUAACCCUACAAAUACCUUCAGGAUCAGGCAAGGCAAUGGCCCCGUCACUAAGCUUAACAGGCAGUAGCAAGGGGCCUAAAGCUAGACCCACGAAACUGCUAGAACCUGACGAAUUAUUGGCCAUUGAGACUGUUCAAGAUUGUCCUUGUAGAAUGUGGAUGAUAUCAUUUUUGCUGUUGCUCCCAAAUCAUCCAACUGAAGGGUCAACGCUUUACUAGGGAAAAACACAAAAGAAAGAUAAGAUUGGGAACUCGAAUUCAGGACAAAAUAAGAAGCUUUUCUAAUAGCUGUAAAAGAAAAGCUGUGGUCAGAAUUUUUCCCAUCAAGCUCUCAAGUGGAUAGAAGAAGAGAAUAAGCCUCUGGGGCUGCAGGGUCCUACAUUCUCAAUUAAAAAGAAGAAUGUGAAUCAACGUGGUGGAGUGUUCCUCUCAUGGUAAAAGCCAAUAGGAGCUAAGAGGUGGGUUGUUCCUUUUCAUAGCAAAUCCAUGUGGGUUCAAUUCCUUCACUUCUGAAGGUUUAGGUCGCUUUCUUAAUGAUUUUAGUAUCUGUCUAUUUGUUCAUAAUUCAUUGGAAAUAUUCCAAAACAAAAUGGCUAAAGUUUCAAACCUUUCAUUUGAACAAGAAAUAAAGUUGGCUUUUCAUAAUCCAUACCAGGGUACUACAAAUCAGAUCAUGUACAGAGACGAUGUGACAAAGAAGUUGACCAUAAUCACCUGGGUUUGUACUCCAUACUCACCAUUUUCGUACACGAGUAUUGAGCUGCAAUCAAAGAAAAGAUUGGAAACAAGCAGAACUACGCUAUGUCAUGAAGAACCAAUUUGUGAAAUCAGAUGAACCAGUUGUCCAAUUCAUUUCUUUUGCCAAACCCACAAGAGUAAACGUCAAGAAAUCUAUUAUUACAAUUAUAUCAUCAACCAUCACAAUCUCCUUUUAUUGCCCAACCAAAAUGUUUUGAGUAUAAAUUUGGAGAGAUUGACUACUCCUCCCAAAUUCAGAAUCAUCAAGAAUAUUGACAUCUAGAAACAGCAAUCAUAGUGUCUCUCUAAGACGUGGUAAAGAAACACAGGUACAUCACCAUCAUCGGCUAUAUUGCGUAUAAAGUUUCCCAGUUAAACACAAAAUGAAAAAUGGUAUAAACACAAACACAUACAUAUAUCCCAAUACAUCAAAUUCUAAUAAUAAUGAUCAUACACCUUGAUCAUUGUGGCUUUGUACUUGAUUUUUACGAAGAACAACGUAAUAAGAGGGGAAAUUUUAUAGGAAAUUAUAUUAUGGCAUUAAUAUAUAAAAUUACCUCGAUAAAGAGAAUAGAGGACGCAUGAAAGUGGAAGGAGAAAGCUUGACGAUACUGUCUUUGACCCCUGCAAAAUCUUCCCAUGUGAAGGAGAGGAUACAGGUUGAUGAUUUCAUUCUCUUCCUGUCUCUUUCGAAAUAGUGCUUAGUGAUCCAAUCAAAUAUUUGAUGAUGAGCAUCUCGAAUAUUUCUAAUCAAAAUUUGGUCACGGGCUCUCCAAGGGUAUCCGAUGCUUUCUCUUCUUGAUUACUCGAUCCAAACUAGACUUAAGGACUAAAACCCUUUCUGAUUUGCCAAGAAGAUCUGUUACAUGAAUAAAUAAAUAAAUAAAAAGACUGGGAAGUUGGCGGAACAGGCUACCAGGAACAGUGCGAAACACCUGAUCUGACCGACCUUUUCUCUCCAGAACAACCUCCCCAGUCCCAUUGAAAUUGCAGAAAUUAUUUUGGUAAUUGGCUAAUUUUAGCUUAAUAGCAUGUCUUCAAA